rnacentral:lncRNA from 1 species
CAUGGCAUUCAGUGAUGCUACCAUAGAACUUCAUCAUAUGAGUGUGCAAUUUUCCAGAGAGUCCGUAACCAGAGGGGGGAGGGAGGGAGCAUACAGUAGAAUUUGGGCAAUCUUAACUCUCCCGCAAGUUAUUUUCUGUAAUAAGUUUGGCAGCUGCUGCUAAGCUGCAUGCCCUCAUCAUUGUUCAACAAAAGUGGUGUCGCCAUCGAGAUCGAGGCGCACCAGCUUGCAUACGCAUCUUUUUCCACCUGAUGAUGCUUCUCUCCA